GGCUACACACGUGCUACAAUGGGUAGUACAGAGAGUCGCAAAGCCGUGAGGUGGAGCUAAUCUCAGAAAACUAUUCUUAGUUCGGAUUGUACUCUGCAACUCGAGUACAUGAAGUUGGAAUCGUUAGUAAUCGCGAAUCAGCAAUGUCGCGGUGAAUACGUUCUCGGGUCUUGUACACACCGCCCGUCACACCACGAGAGUUGGUUGCACCUGAAGUAGCAGGCCUAACCGUAAGGAGGGAUGCUCCGAGGGUGUGAUUAGCGAUUGGGGUGAAGUCGUAACAAGGUAUCCGUACGGGAACGU
rnacentral:rRNA from 1 species